ACAGAGGUCGGGUCUCUGCCGAGAUUCCUGAUACGAUGGCAGUCUUGUGGAUGAGGGGUUGACUUGGCAGUCAGCAGAGCUGAAGAUGUUGACAGCUUCCAUGGGAGCAAGGAGCGGUAACUCACCACGUGGGAGCUAUAAACACCUCCCCAAGAACAUGCUUUGAACACUCAUGUCUGUGGAAAACGCUUGGGUGGAAAGAAUGAGAUCUGAACUGCUUCAAGAGCCAAGAAAAGGCUGGAGUCUCAUGGCAGUCAUGGAAGAGAAGUUCUGAAGUGGGUUAAUCCUUUGCUCUUUCCACAGUCCAUAUUGUGAAGCUGUUCCAUGGUUUAAAUGAGUCUCCUUGGACUUGACUCUUAGGGCAUUGCUGUUUUUCCCCCUGCAAUGAACUGUGAAUCACAAAGAUCUGUGGGGGACAAGUCAUCUGGAAUGGGGUGGGCAAAUAUGGUCCUGGUAAGACUGUGGAUAUUUGUGAAAUAAAGGAGCAUCCUUUAUUUCUAUUGGCAAGCUUUGCUGAGGCCUGAGCUCCAAGUUUGGUCUAGUGUUACCUUGUAUAGGUGAUAGUGGGCAUGAUAGAGACUCUUCAUUAAGUCCUACGUAUAUGUCUGAUGUUACUGUGUUACCCUUCUCUUGGAUUUUGACUGGAACUGACCCUGCACCAGUUCCCACCCUGGAGGACGUGGCUUACCA